UGGGGAAUAUUGCACAAUGGGCGAAAGCCUGAUGCAGCAACGCCGCGUGAAGGAAGAAGGGUUUCGGCUCGUAAACUUCUAUCAACAGGGACGAAGAAAGUGACGGUACCUGAAUAAGAAGCCCCGGCUAACUACGUGCCAGCAGCCGCGGUAAUACGUAGGGGGCAAGCGUUAUCCGGAAUUACUGGGUGUAAAGGGUGAGUAGGCGGCAUGGUAAGCCAGAUGUGAAAGCCUUGGGCUUAACCCGAGGAUUGCAUUUGGAACUAUCAAGCUAGAGUACAGGAGAGGAAAGCGGAAUUCCUAGUGUAGCGGUGAAAUGCGUAGAUAUUAGGAAGAACACCAGUGGCGAAGGCGGCUUUCUGGACUGAAACUGACGCUGAGGCACGAAAGCGUGGGGAGCGAACAGGAUUAGAUACCC
rnacentral:rRNA from 1 species